rnacentral:tRNA from 1 species
GGGCCAUUAGCUCAGUUGGUAGAGCACCUGACUCUUAAUCAGGGUGUCCGGGGUUCGAGCCCCUGAUGGCCCACCA